ACUCCUACGGGAGGCAGCAGUAGGGAAUCUUCCACAAUGGACGAAAGUCUGAUGGAGCAACGCCGCGUGAACGAUGAAGGCUUCGGUCGUAAAGUUCUGUUGUAAGGGAAGAACAAGUGCCGCAGGCAAUGGCGGCACCUUGACGGUACCUUGCGAGAAAGCCACGGCUAACUACGUGCCAGCAGCCGCGGUAAUACGUAGGUGGCAAGCGUUGUCCGGAAUUAUUGGGCGUAAAGCGCGCGCAGGCGGCCUCUUAAGUCUGAUGUGAAAGCCCCGGCUCAACCGGGGGAGGGCCAUUGGAAACUGGGAGGCUUGAGUAUAGGAGAGAAGAGUGGAAUUCCACGUGUAGCGGUGAAAUGCGUAGAGAUGUGGAGGAACACCAGUGGCGAAGGCGACUCUUUGGCCUAUAACUGACGCUGAGGCGCGAAAGCGUGGGGAGCAAACAGGAUUAGAUACCCUGGUAGGAUAGCG
rnacentral:rRNA from 1 species